rnacentral:rRNA from 1 species
CUCUACGGGAGGCAGCAGUGGGGAAUAUUGCACAAUGGGGGAAACCCUGAUGCAGCGACGCCGCGUGAAGGAUGAAGUAUUUCGGUAUGUAAACUUCUAUCAGCAGGGAAGAAAAUGACGGUACCUGACUAAGAAGCCCCGGCUAACUACGUGCCAGCAGCCGCGGUAAUACGUAGGGGGCAAGCGUUAUCCGGAUUUACUGGGUGUAAAGGGAGCGCAGACGGCAGUGCAAGUCUGGAGUGAAAGCCCGGGGCCCAACCCCGGCACUGCUCUGGAAACUGUGCGGCUAGAGUACUGGAGGGGCA